rnacentral:lncRNA from 1 species
UGGCAGAUAUUCAAGCUUAGGGAGCAAGCAGCAAGGACAGAGCCUUCCCCGUCUCUGUGUGUUGAAGUCAGCAGAUAGCACACCUGCUGCUGCGUGAGUUCCUUCUGCCAAGCAGAGCAGCACAGCUGCAAGACACCCUGCUUCUGGCUCUGAGCUUUGCUUGUCUUCAGGGAUGGAGCCCCUCCCAAGAUCCUAGAGGCUACCUGCAUUCCUUGGCUUUUAUCCCCAAUCUUCCAUCUUCGGAGCCAGCAACACACCUUUUUCUUCCUUCCAUGAUAUAGAUAUAUUGAUCAUGAGGAGAGGGCUCACCCCUCACCCGGAGAAGUAGUUGGGGAAGCAAUAUGCGGAAACAAAGCCAUGAAUCUGACAAGAAAUGUACUUAAGAUUGUAUAUAUGGAGAUGAAUACCCAUUGUCCUUUGCACUUUCUGGAUGAUAAAUUAGAAAAGAAAAAUCCAAAGAAUGAAGUUGUGCUAUUUGUCCUCACUUCUGAUUUGGGAAACUAGAGGAAAUUAAGAUGGGAAAAGACCAUGUGAGGACACAGUGAGAAGGAGACCAUAUGCAAAGCAGGAAGGAAGAUCUCACUGGAACCAAAAACCAGCCCUGCUGGCACCCUGAUCUUGGACUUCUAGCCUUUCUCAGAACUGUGAGAAAAUAAAUUUCUGAUGUUUCAGCCACUCAGCCUGUGGUCGUUCGUUAUGCAACCCUAGCAGACAAACAGGGACCUAGCUUAAGAACUGGUUAAAAAUGAGGCCAGUGAGGAAUUUGAUACUCUAUGGUUGGGAAAGUUUGAUUUAUUCUAAGUGCAAUGGAAUGGAGCUGGGGAUAUAAAUUUUGGAUUUACUGGCAGGUGAAACAUAUUUUAAAAUAGACUAAAAUUAAAUUUCCUAAGGACAGAAUGUAGACAGAAAAGAAUCAAGGUUUUAUGACCAAGAUCCAAGUCACUCCAAUAUUUAGAGUUCUCCCAAGCAUUUAAAGAAGGCUUACACUGAUUCUAUGUAGCAUCUUCCAAAAAAUAGAAAUUUUUCACGGCAUCUUUCCAAGUCAUUAUAUGAGGCCAAAAUUACCUUGAUAUUUUAACCAAAGACAGUACGAGAGAAAAAGCUAUAGAUCAAUAUCUCACAUGAACUUAGACAUAACAUUUCUAAACAAAAUAUUAGCAACUUGAAUCCAGAAAUAUGUAAAAAAGAAUUAUGCAACAUAGCCAAGUGGGAUCUAUUCCAGGUAUGCAAUGCUUUUAAAUGUUUGAAAAAAAGUCAAUAUAAUCUACCAUAUUAACAGGCUAAUCACAUGAUCAUAUCAGUUGAUGAAGAUCAAAUCUAUGACAAAAUUUAACACCUAUUUAUAAUUUUAAAGAACCUCUCUAAAAAUAAAAAAUAGAAGGAAAUAUCCUCAAAUUGAUAAAGAUCAUUUACAGAAAACACAAAAGCUAGCAUUACACUUAAUGGUGAGAAUCUGAAUUAGUUCCCCCUAAGAUCAGGACCAGGCAAAGAUGUUUGCUAUCAUCACUCUCAUUCCAUAUAGUGCUGGAAGUUCUCACUGGUGCAAUAAGGCACACAGUGGAAAUAAAGACACUGAAAUUUGUGUUAGUUAAUUUUGUGUUGCUAUAACGGAAUGCCACAGAAUGGAUAAUUUAUUAAGAAAAUUGUUUAUUUCUUACAGUUUUGGAGGCUCAGAAGUUCAAGGUGCAGGGGCCCACAUCUGGUGAGGGCCUUCUUGCUGUAUCAUCCCAUGGCAGAAGGCAAAAGGGCAAGAGUACAAGAUAGAAAGAGAAAGAGGGAUGGGGGAAGGUUGAUAUGAGGGAGCCAAACUCAUCCUUUUUAUCCAGAGUCCACUCCUGAGAUAAUUAAGUCACUUCCGCAAUACAUCAUUAAUCCAUUCAGAGCCCUCAUGACCUAAUCACCUUUUAAAGGUUCCACUUAACGCUGUUGCACUGGGGAUUAAGUUUCCAAUACAAAAACUUUGGGGGAUGCAUUCAAACUAUAGCCAGUUUGAAUGGAAAAAAAUUUAACUGUUUCUAUUUCAAAUGACCUAAUUGUAUACAUAGAAAAUUCCAGGCAAUCUUUUAAAAACUCCCAGAACUAAUGUAUAAGUUUAGCAAGAUCAUAGGAUCCAAGACCAACACACAAAAAUCAAUCAUAUUUUUAUACGCUAGCAAUGAAUAUGUGGAAAACACAAUUAAGAAUACAAGACUAUUUACAAUUAUUUCAAAAAAGAGAGAAAUAAUUAGAUACAAAUCUAAUGUACACAUAGGUCCUCUAUGCCAAAAAUGACAGAACCCAAAGGAACAAAUGCAAAGGACCUUUAAAUAAAUGGAGAGAUGACUUUGUAAUGGAUAGAAAGAUUCAACAUAAUAAAGAUGUCAAUUCUCUCCAACUUCAUCAACAGGGGCAAUUCAAUUCAUAUCAAAAUUCCAAAAAAAUUUUUUUGCAGAUAUAGUAAAAUUUAUUUUAAAAUUUAUAUCUCAAGGCACAGGCCAUGGACUAAGUAAAAUUAUUUUGAAAUUGAAUAAAGUUGGGUAGAUUAUUAUAUCCAAUGUUAAGACUUAAUAUAUGGCUACAAUAAUCAAGAGAGUGUGAUAUUGGUUGGGGGAAUAGACUCAUAGAUCAAUGGAACAGAAGAGAUAACCCGAAACUAAACAACACAAAUAUGCCCAGCUGAUUUUUGCAAAGGUUAUAAAAGCGGUUCAGUGGAAGAACAGUUCUUUCAACAGAUGAUGUUAAAGCAAUUAGAUGUCCAAGGGCAAAUAAUUGAGUCUCAACCUAAACCUAAUACUUCAUUCAAAAAUUAAUUCAAAGUGUAUUAUAGAUUUAAAUAUAAAUGUAAAACUAAAAAACUUUAGCAUAAAACAAAGAAAAAUUUUAGGAAGUAGGGCUAGAUGAGAAGAUCUUAGAUAUGACACCAAAAGCACAACUCAUAAGAGAAUAUAAUUACUCUAUUGGACUUCAUAAAAAUUAAAAACUUUUGCUCUGUGAAAGACUACAUUUAGAGAAUGAAAAGUUAAUCUAAAGUUAAUCUACAGACUAGAGGAAAAUAUUUGCAAAUCACAAGAUUCAACAUAGGGCUUCUACUUAGAAUAUAUAAAGAGCUCUCAAGCUGAACAUUAAAAGAAAAAUAAGCAGGCUGGUCUGAAGAUAGCGAAGUAUCUCAACUGAUUGUUCACAGUUCGUUAAGGAUCUUACUCUUUGUUCUACAAUUCCCCCCUUCUCACUACUGCACUUGACUAAUAAAAAAGCAAUUAAAUUAGAAAAUUUAUAAACAAAAUUAACAAAAGAUUUUUAACUGGGGAGAGAUGAUAUCUCAUUUUAGUUUUGAUUUGCUUUUCUCUGAUAAUCAAUGAUGUUGAAUGCGUUUUCACAUGCCUGUUUGACAUUUGUAUGUCUUCUUUUGGGCAACGUCUAUUCAAAUCUUUUGCCCAUUUUUUAAAUCAAAUUAUUAGAUUUUUUCCUGUAAAAUUGUUUGAGCUCCUUAUAUAUUCUAAUUAUUAAUCCCUCAUCAGGUGGGUAGUUUGCAAAUAAUUUCUCCCACUCUGCACAUUGUCUCUUCACUUUGUUUAUUGUUCCCUUCAUUCUGCAGAAGCUUUUAAACUUGAUUUGACCCCACUUGUCCAUAUCCAAAAGACAGGCAAUAACAAAUGCUGGUGAGGAUGUGGAGAAAAGUGAAUGCUUGUACACUGUUUGUGGGAAUAUAAAUUAGUAUAACCACUCUGAAGAAUAGUUUGGAGGUUCCUCGAAAAAUUAAAAAUAGAGCUACCAUAUGAUCCAGCAAUACCAUUCCUAGGUAUAUGACCAAUAGAAGGGAAAUCAAUAUAUUGAAGAGAUACCUGCACUCCCAUGUUAGCUGAAACACCGUUCAUAAUAGCCAAGAUUUGGAAGCAAUCUAAGUGUCCAUCAAUAGAUGAAUGGAUAAAGAAAGUGUGGUACUUAUACACAAUGGAGAAUUAUUUAGCCACGGAAAAGCAUGAGAUCCUGUCAUUUGCAACAACAUGGAUGGAACCGGAGAUCAUUAUGUUAAGUGAAAUAAGCCAGGCACAGAAAGACAAAGAUCACAUGUUCUCACUUAUUUGUGGGAGCUAAAAUUUAAAACGAUUGAACUCGUAUACAUAGAGUGUAGAGGAUGGUUACCAGAGGCUGGGAAGGGUAGUUGGGGUUGAUAGGGAAGAUGAAAAUAGCUAAUGGGUUAAAAAAAAUGAAAGAAUGAAUAAUACCUGGUAGUUGAUAGCAAAACAGGGUUACUAUAGUCAAAAUAAUUUAAUUGUAUAUUUUCAAAUAACUAAAAGAAUGUAAUUGGAUUGUUUGUAACACAAAGGAUAAAUGCUUAAGGAGAUGAAUACCCCAUUUACCCUGAUGUGAUUAUUAUAUGCAUUGCAUACCUGUCAUCUGGAUGUCCAAGCAGAAGUUUGCUGCAGAGGUGGGGCCUCAUGAAGAACCUCUGCUAGGGCAGUGUGGAAGAGAAAUGUGGGGUUGGAUGCCCCAGAGUCCCCACUGGGGCACUGCCUAGUAGAGCUGUGAGAAGAGAGCCACCAUCCUCCAUACUCCAGAACGAUAGAUCCACCAACAGCUUGCACUAUGCGCCUGGAAAAGCUGCAGACAUUCAACACUAGCCCCUGAAAGCAGCCAGGAUGGGGGCUGUAUCCUGCAAAGCCACAGGGGAGGAGCUGCCCGAGGCUGUGGGAGCUCACCUCUUGUAUCAGCAUGACCUGGAUAUGAGACAUGAAGUCAAAGGAGAUCAUUUUGGAGCUUUAAGAUUUAAUGAUUGCCCCUUGGGAUUACAGACUUGCAUGGAGUCUUAGCCCUUUUGUUUUGGCCAAUUCCUCCCAUUUGGAACAGGUAUAUUUACCCACUGCCUGUACCCCCAUUAUAUCUAGGAAGUAACUCACUUGCUUUUGAUUUUACAGACUCAUAAGUGGAAGGGACUUGCUUUGUCUCUGAUGAUACUUUGGACUGUGAACUUUUGAGUUAAUACUGAAAUGAGUUAAGACUUUGGGGGACUGUUGGGAAGGCAUGAUUGCUUUUGAAAUGUGAGAACAUGAGAUUUGGGAGGGGCCAGGGGCUGAAUGAUAUGGUUUGGUUGUGUCCCCACCCAAAUCUCACCUUAAAUUGUAAUAAUCCCCAUGUGUCAAGGGUGGGGCCAGGUGGAGAUAACUGGAUCAUGGGGGCGGUUUUCCCCAUACUGUUCUCAUGGUAGUGAAUAAGUCUUACGAGUCUGAUGGUUUUAUAAAUAAGACUUCCCCAUACAAGCUCUCUUUUGCCUGCCACCAUGUAAGAUGUGACUUUACUCCUCAUUUGCCUUCCGCUAUGAUUAUGAGGGCUCCCUAGCUAUGUGGACCUGUGAGUCCAUUAAACCUCUUUCCUUAAUAAAUUACCCAGUCUUGGGUGUGUCUUUAUUAGCAGUGUUUGAACAGACAAAUAUACAA